rnacentral:rRNA from 1 species
ACAACCCGUCAUUCUGAAGGAAUGACAUCUUGCAUAGCAAGAGGCUAACGCAGGGAACUGAAACAUCUUAGUACCUGUAGGAAAAGAAAAUAAUAAUGAUUCCCCUAGUAGUGGCGAGCGAACGGGGAUUAGCCCAAACCAAUGUUGUUACGGCAAUAUUGGGGUUGUAGGACCACGAUGUCGCAAGAAAUUUAGUGAGAAGAACCCUUUGGAAAAUGGGACCAUAGACGGUGAUAGUCCGGUAUUCGAAGCUAAAUGAAGCGUAGUGGUAUCCUGAGUAGCGCGGGACACGAGGAAUCUUGCGUGAAUCUGCCGGGACCAUCCGGUAAGGCUAAAUACUCCCGAGAGACCGAUAGCGAACCAGUACUGUGAAGGAAAGGUGAAAAGCACUUCGAAUAGAAGAGUGAAAUAGUCCCUGAAACCGUGCGCCUACAAGCGGUCGGAGCUGCUUCAGCAGUGACGGCGUGCCUUUUGCAUAAUGAACCUACGAGUUACUUUUUCCGGCAAGGUUAAGGAUCUUGAGAUCCGCAGCCGAAGCGAAAGCGAGUCUUAACAGGGCGAUUAGUCGGAAGGAGUAGACGCGAAACCAAGUGAUCUACCCUUGGUCAGGUUGAAGGUUAGGUAACACUAACUGGAGGACCGAACCGAUAAGCGUUGAAAAGCUUCCGGAUGAACUGAGGGUGGGGGUGAAAGGCUAAUCAAACUUGGAGAUAGCUCGUACUCCCCGAAAUGCAUUUAGGUGCAGCCUUGGGAAUUACUACUGUGAGGUAGAGCGACUGAUAAGAUGCGAGGGCUUCACCGCCUAUCAAGUCUUGAUAAACUCCGAAUGCGCAGUAGUUCGAUCCCAGGAGUGAGGGCAUGGGUGCUAAGGUCCAUGUCCUAAAGGAGAAGAAUCCGGACCAUCAGCUAAGGUCCCGAAAUAAUUGCUAAGUUGAACUAACGAAGUCAGAUUGCUAAGACAGCUAGGAUGUUGGCUUGGAAGCAGCCAUUCAUUUAAAGAGUGCGUAACAGCUCACUAGUCGAGGAGUUUGGCGUGGAUAAUAAUCGGGCAUUAAGCAAUUUACCGAAGCUAUGGGAUCAGUAAUGAUCGGUAGGGGAGCAUUCCACUCUGCGUCGAAGGUGAAGCGUGAGCUUUGCUGGAGCGUGUGGAAAAGCAAAUGUAGGUAUAAGUAACGAUAAAGGGGGUGAGAAACCCCCUCGCCGAAAGACUAAGGUUUCCUGAUCAACGCUAAUCGGAUCAGGGUUAGUCGGGUCCUAAGGCUCAGCCGAACGGUGAGGCCGAUGGCAGAACAGGUUAAUAUUCCUGUACUACCUUAAGGAGUGACGUGGAGACGGAGGCGUGAUAGCGCCGCGGACUGACGGAAUAGUCCGUUGAAGGGUGUAGAUGUUGAUCUUUGCAGGCAAAUCCACAAAGAGAGUCGAACCUGAUAGUAUACCAAAUUCUUCGGAAUAAGGUAAUAGUGCGUGUAAGCAUACUCCCAAGAAAAUCCGCUAAACUUAAUCUUUAAGGUACCCGUACCGCAAACGGACACACGUAGUCGGGUUGAAUAUACUAAGGCGCUUGAGUGAUUCACGGUUAAGGAACUAGGCAAAUUGACCCUGUAACUUCGGGAUAAAGGGUCCCAACGAGAGUUGGGCGCAGAGAAUAGGUCCAGGCAACUGUUUAACAAAAACACAGGGCUGUGCUAAAUUGAAAGAUUACGUAUACAGCCUGACACCUGCCCGGUGCUGGAAGGUUAAGAGGAGAUGUCAUCGCAAGAGAAGCAUUGAAUUGAAGCCCCAGUAAACGGCGGCCGUAACUAUAACGGUCCUAAGGUAGCGAAAUUCCUUGUCGGGUAAGUUCCGACCUGCACGAAUGGUGUAAUGAUCUGGACACUGUCUCAACCGUGAGCUCAGUGAAAUUGUAGUAUCGGUGAAGAUGCCGAUUACCCGCGAUGGGACGAAAAGACCCCGUGAACCUUUACUAUAGCUUAACAUUGAAUUUGGGUAAUUGAUGUGUAGGAUAGGCCGGAGACUUCGAAGCAGGUACGCCAGUAUUUGUGGAGUCGCUGUUGAAAUACGGCCCUUUGAUUAUUUGAGUUCUAACUCGUAGAUGCGAGGACACUGUUUGGUGGGUAGUUUGACUGGGGUGGUCGCCUCCAAAAGUGUAACGGAGGCUUCUAAAGGUGCCCUCAGGACGAUUGGUAACCGUCCGUAGAGUGUAAUGGCAUAAGGGCGCUUGACUGGGAGACAGACAAGUCGAUCAGGUAGGAAACUAGAGCAUAGUGAUCCGGUGUUUCCGUAUGGAAGGGACAUCGCUCAAAGGAUAAAAGGUACUCCGGGGAUAACAGGCUGAUCCCUCCCAAGAGCUCAUAUCGACGGAGGGGUUUGGCACCUCGAUGUCGGCUCGUCACAUCCUGGGGCUGGAGAAGGUCCCAAGGGUUGGGCUGUUCGCCCAUUAAAGUGGCACGCGAGCUGGGUUCAGAACGUCGUGAGACAGUUCGGUCUCUAUCUAUCGUGGGCGUAUGAAAUUUGCGUGGCUCUGACACUAGUACGAGAGGACCGUGUUGGACUGACCGCUGGUUUACCAGUUGUGCCGCCAGGUGCAUUGCUGGGUAUCUAAGUCGGGAUUGGAUAAGUGCUGAAAGCAUCUAAGUACGAAGCCAGCCACAAGAUUAGAUUUCUUAGGGUCGUUAAAGACGAUGACGUUGAUAGGAUGCAGGUGUAAAGGUGGUAACAUCAAAGCCGAGCAUUACUAAUUGCCCGUUCACUUUCUUU